rnacentral:rRNA from 1 species
GAUGAACGCUGGCGGCGUGCCUAACACAUGCAAGUCGAGCGAUCUUCUUCGGAAGAGAGCGGCGGACGGGUGAGUAACGCGUGGGUAACCUGCCUCAUACACAUGGAUAACAUACCGAAAGGUAUGCUAAUACAAGAUGAUAUAAGAGAUUCGCAUGAAUUUCUUAUCAAAGCUUUUGCGGUAUAAGAUGGACCCGCGUCUGAUUAGCUAGUUGGUAAGGUAAUGGCUUACCAAGGCGACGAUCAGUAGCCGACCUGAGAGGGUGAUCGGCCACAUUGGAACUGAGACACGGUCCAAACUCCGACGGGAGGCAGCAGUGGGGAAUAUUGCACAAUGGGCGAAAGCCUGAUGCAGCAACGCCGCGUGAGCGAUGAAGGCCUUCGGGUCGUAAAGCUCUGUCCUCAAGGAAGAUAAUGACGGUACUUGAGGAGGAAGCCCCGGCUAACUACGUGCCAGCCGCCGCGGUAA